GAUCAAAUUCAACAUGCAGAUCACAGAUCCUACUGGAAGCAUUGAAGCAACAGUCUUCUCAAAAGUUGCAUCAGAAGUCUAAAGCAUUACACCAUCAGAUGCAAUGAAUGUUCAACUGGCCCUCCCAGUGCUUCACAAACUAGGCGAACCAAAGAAAUGCAUCAUCACACUGAAGGCCUACAUAUACAACUAUGCAGGACUCAGCCAAAUAAAGUUCAACGUGCACUCCAUGUCUGCCGAAAACCUCUCAAAAGCAGCAAACCGUUCAGAAGAACUUCUUACUCUACCUCCAAACACUCCAAAUAAGAAGAGCAAAAAGGGAGAGCACAAACCAAGCAGCUCAACCUCCACUCCAGCAAUCAACACCCCAGCAGACAGUAGCCCAACAAAACACACUCCACCAACUGGAAAACUUCCAACAGCCCCAACAAGAACAAGAACAAAUAGUCGGCUUCCGUAAUCUCCAGAAUUUUACAAGCUUUUGGCAUGAAAAAUUUCCAUCAAAAGACUUUUGCUUGGUCUAACUUGCAAGAACUCUGCCUUUUCCAAUUGUAUAAAAAAAACUUGUCGCCAAAGUCGUGUAAUUAGCAACCAAAGACGGGAACAUAUCCAAAUCAUGACUGGUACAUGUAACUUUUGCUAUGAUCAAAUACUUGGUCAAACCUAA